CGGUUUAGCUCAGCUGGUAGAGCAACCGCCUUGUAAGCGGUAGGUCGCGAGUUCGAGUCCCGCAACCGG
rnacentral:tRNA from 2 species